rnacentral:rRNA from 1 species
AGUGAACGCUGGCGGUAGGCCUAACACAUGCAAGUCGAACGGCAGCACAGUAAGAGCUUGCUCUUACGGGUGGCGAGUGGCGGACGGGUGAGGAAUACAUCGGAAUCUACUUUUUCGUGGGGGAUAACGUAGGGAAACUUACGCUAAUACCGCAUACGACCUACGGGUGAAAGCAGGGGAUCUUCGGACCUUGCGCGAUUGAAUGAGCCGAUGUGGAUUAGCUAGUUGGCGGGGUAAAGGCCCACCAAGGCGACGAUCCGUAGCUGGUCUGAGAGGAUGAUCAGCCACACUGGAACUGAGACACGGUCCAGACUCCUACGGGAGGCAGCAGUGGGGAAUAUUGGACAAUGGGCGCAAGCCUGAUCCAGCCAUACCGCGUGGGUGAAGAAGGCCUUCGGGUUGUAAAGCCCUUUUGUUGGGAAAGAAAAGCAGCAGGUUAAUACCCCGCUGUUCUGACGGUACCCAAAGAAUAAGCACCGGCUAACUUCG